AGUCAAGCAAAGGUGAAAGCACUGUGCGUGACAGGCUUCAGGCAUGUGACCCUGGGGCCUGGGGUCAGCACCUCCCUACAGGAGGCUCCAGGGAACAUUAAGUAGGUGGUUACAGAUAUUUUCUUUCUUGGUGCAGGCAGCAUUGACACAACAGUGUACCUGAACUCCUAGGCAUACAAAUGCUGACUGCAUUUGCUUUGUUGUUUAUGGAGAUAGAGUCUCAUGUAUCCCAUGCUGGCCUCCAACUUGCUAUGUAGCUGAGGAUACCCCUGACUCUCACUCUUCCAGGUACUGGGAUAACAUAAUCACACCACACAGCAUUUUGUGUGGUGCUUGGUGUCAGAUCCAGGGCUCUGUGCAUGUUUGGCAAGCAUUCUACUAACCGAGCCACAUCCUAGUCUAAUCAUACUGAUUUUAGAAAUUAUUUACCUUUUAUAUGUUCAAAUACCAUAGAGAAUAAUAUUUUCAUGAAAUUCCACAACAUAUUAAACAAGAUUUUAAGAUAGUUUAUUCCAUGAUCUAACUACAUGUGCACAUGUAGAAUAUGUGUAACCAUAUGAUUAUCAUGUAAUCUGGUUUCAUGUACACACACAUGUAUGUUUCCAUGUACACACGUGUAUUGUUUGAAAUAUCCCAGGGUUUGAACAAAAUGUACCCUGUAAUUACCUUGUGAGCAAUUUCUGUUUUCUUUUUUAUGCUUUUCUAUAUUACCAGAUGUUCCUUAAUGAACACUUUUAUAUUCACAAACAAAUUAAAUAAAAUCAAGCAUAUCUCCUUUCCUGUUUUGCCAACUCCAGCAGAUCUGGGAGGUGGAACUGGACUCCGAGAUGGGAUUCAGAGAACACCCCAACUCCAUCAAAGUGAGAUGGCUGCAGGGAAAAUGGCUUUGGUCUGGAACACCCAACCCUCUGCCCUUGGCUUUGUCCCUACUGAGCCCUGCAGAGCUAACGUGCUCUGUGGGCAAGGGGAGCCCGGAGAGCCCUGUCCCAGGCAGACCUUUCUGAUUGCAGGGCUGACCUCCGGCCAUGUGCACCUCUCUGGGAACAGCUGCCUUCUGUAUUGCCCUGCCCAGCAUAGGGUUUGGGUUCAGAUCUUGUUGGUCACCCUGACACCUCAAGGGCUAGAGGCAAUAGCACUGACAACACAGGUGGGACGAGCCUGUGUCAGUGACUGAGCAUAAGCCCAUCCACUUGUAACCCUGAAAGCUUAAGGCUAUUGUUUGGGGCACCUGAAGCUUUAGAUGAGGGGUAACUGGCCCAGAGAAUGUUGACCUGCAGUUGGUGAACUUAACCCCUUGUCUGGGCUUCCAGUUCUUAUAAUUUCAGUUCCCAUGAAUCUCUGGAUCCAGUAGCCGAUUAAGGUGGUUCGGGUUUAGGGUCUGGAUUCUUGUGGGUCUGUGGCUAGGCUUUGAAGUUGACUGUGAGCGUCUCUCGGAACAGGACUCUGCCUUUAUUAAAAGCUGCUGGGGACCAGUGUUCACCACCCACCCUCUCCUGCCUGCUGGUCUCACAAGGCUGCUGGGAGAGACACCGGGUGGCUCUGGUUUCCCUCCCCUCCCUGAUUGUUGGAGCAGAUUCUGUUAGCAGCCUGUGAGUAUAAAUAAGAGCCUGAAACUGUUAAAAAUAAUUUUUUUUAACCAAGUCUCAAAUAGGAAAGCUGAGGCACAGAAGGUUAAGGACACAGUGUGAUUCGGAGUCUCUAGUCAGCAGCAAAUGCCACGGUGUCUAGUCCUGGAGAACAGCCGGCCUUAGAGGCCAGGUUUAUGCCUAGUGUGAAGACAGCCCACAGUAUGCUCAGCUAGGUGUCCCUGAAGGGUAUAGGCUGGUCACUGGUUCUGCUCAGAGUCUCCAAUGAGGUCCCAUUAUGUUUUGCUUUCUCUCUCUUUGUCUCUCUCUGUCUCUGUCUCCCUCUCUCCCUCUCUGUCUCUCCCUCUCCAGCCCUUCCUCCCUCUCUUCCUCUUUCUCUCUCUCUCCCUCCCCAUCUCACUCCCCUUAUAUGGCAAACAACCCUCUCUGAGUUAGUCUCUCAUCGGUGUGUGGUGCUGAAGUUAAUCCAUUACUUAUUUAUUAUGAGUGUGCGUAUGUGUGCAGGCCCGUGCCUGUCGCAUCAUGUGUGCGGAAGGUCAGAGGACAAUUUGGAGGAGUCUCUUUUCUCCCCGUACCAUGUAGGUUCCAAGGGGAUCAAGCUCCGAGCCUCAGGCUUCAAAUGGCAGCAAGCACUUUCCCCAGGUCAACUCUCUGGAGGACCCAUACUGCUGCUGUCAUGUGAGAACAAGGGAUGUCUGGGAGUGUUGGCUUGUGCUUAUAACCUCAUCACGCGGGAGGCCAGGAGUGAAGCUAUGCUGCAUCUGAGGCCAGGAUGAUUGACAUGGGGAGCUGCAGGAUAGCCGGGGCCGUGUAGUGAGACUGUCUGGGCAGCCAGUGUGUGUGUGUAUUGGGAGGGGGGGUGCGGGGAGGGGCGACAGAAAGAAGAAGUGAAUGUGUAAUUCACUGGAAAUAAUGAAACAGGGCAUAGGAGCACGUGUCUAUAAUCCCAGCGCUCAGGCUGAGUCAGGAGGAUCACUCAAUCUAGGCUAGCCUGGGUUGCAUAGUGAGACCAUAUGUUAAAAAUAAAAAAGAUUGGGCUGGCGAGAUGGCUCAGCGGGUAAGAGCACUGACUGCUCUUCCGAAGGUCCUGAGUUCAAAUCCCAGCAACCACAUGGUGGCUCACAACCACCCAAAAUGAGAUCUGAUGCCCUGCCCUCUUCUGGUGCAUCUGAAGACAGCUACAGUGUACUUAUUUAUAACACUAAAUAAAUCUUUGGGCCGGAGCAAGCAGGGACUGAGCGAACAGAGUUGAUCAGAGCAAGCAGGGCUGACUGGAACGAGUGGGGUUGACCAGAGUGAGCAGAGGUCCUAAAAAUUUAAUUCCCAACAACCAUAUGAAGGCUCACAACCAUCUGUACAACUACAGUGCACUCAUACAUGAAAUAAAUCUUAAAAAAAUUAAAAAAGAAUGCAACUGACCCUGGGUCUCACUGUCAAUACAUAACCAUGAGGGUCAAGGGUGCUGGUUACUUACUGAGUGCCUAUUGCUUGCUGAUCUACUGCCACCCACACCCCCACUGGCUCCUAAGAAUACCUGCAGGCAGAAACUCUCAUCUUUCCACCUCCCCAAGGGAACGUGAGUCCCUGAGAUAGAGCAUCCACAAGGAGAGCAAGGAAUGAACCGGGUGGCUUCAGUCCCUAUAGUCCCACCAGUGCCACCACAGCCUCUCCCUUGUAAGACACGUAUUCUCUGAAAACAUAGUAAAUUAGCACGGAAUUUUUUUUUUCUCAUCUACCCAGGAUUUGAAAUCAUUUCUGUAGGCAGAACUCAGUAACAGAAACACCAAUGAGAUGCACUUGCAUUGUGGCAUUGUGAACCUACAGCCACAGUCAGGGCUGGGUGCUUAGUUCUCAGAGCCCAGAACAAGAUGAAAAGGCAGCUCUGAGCUAAAAAGUGAUUCAGGUUCCUGGGCAGGUGAUGGCUGACAAGUAUAGGUUCCUUUGUGCACGUGGCCCUGUGGAACUGAGUAUGCUGCAGCCCUGCGUGGCCAGCCCGGGUAGGUAAUUAUUUUCCAUCUUUGUGGUCUUUCCCCAGCCCCACUCUUUUUCUUCUUUUUCUUUUUCUUUUUCUUUUUCUUUUUCUUUUUCUUUUUCUUUUUCUUUUUCUUUUUCUUUUUCUUUUUCUUCUUCUUCUUUUUCUUUUCCUUUUCCUUUUCCUUUUUCUUUUUCUUUCUUUUUCUUUUUCUUUUUUUGGUCAGGUUCUUAUAUAACCCAGUCUAGCCUUGGACAGAUUAUGUAACCAAGAAUGACUCCUAACUGUCCUGUUUCUACCUCCCAAAUGAUGGGAUUAUAGGUGUGGCCAUCACUCCUGUUUGAUGCAGUGCUAGGGAUCAAACCCAGGGCUUCAAGCACACCAAAUAAAUACCCUACUAACUGAGCAUAUUCCCAGCCAGCACCACCACCACCACCAUCAUCAUUAUUUCGUCCCUCUUAUAUGUUCCUCCUUUGUUUAUUUUUGAAGAAGUUUUUAAAGAUUUAUUUUAAUUUUUUAUGUGUAUAGGCAUUUUGCCUGUAAGUAUGUCUGUGUCCCAUGUGUGUACAGUGCCCCUUGGAGACCAGAGUCAGGUGUUAGAUUCCCUGGAACUGCAGUUGCAGACAGUCAUAAGCCCUCAUGUAUGUGCUGGGAAUCAAACUCAGGUCCUCUGAAAGAGCAGCAGCCAGUCAGCAGCAGUGCUCUUGACCACUGAGCCAUCUCUCCAGCCUCAAGAUUUUUUUUUUAUCUUUUUAAAAGAUAAUAGCCAUGGCUGGGCUGAACCUUGCUGUGUAGUCCAGGCUGGCCUCAAACUCAUAUAUACCUGUUUCUGCCUCCUGAGUGCUGGGAUUAAAGGUAUGUGACAUCAUGCUCUAUUCUGGAGAUUCAUUUUUAAGUGUGUGUGUGUNNNNNNNNNNNNNNNNNNNNNNNNNNNNNNNNNNNNNNNNNNNNNNNNNNNNNNNNNNAUAGGCAGUUGUGAUCUGCCUGGUGGGAAAACACAGGUCCUCUAGAAGAGCAGUGCCAGUUUUCACCCAUUUCUUUCUUCAGCCCACUUUGGUUUUGAGAGUUUCUCACCACGCAGCUCAGAGUGCCUCAAAGUCACAGCUUUUCUACUUUGAUUCUGAAACAUUAGGUUACAGGUCCUUUGGGACAAACUGAGCAUUUUGGAUGCAUUGAAAAAUACACUGUGGGCUCACAGACUCCGCUGUCCCUGUUGUCGCUUGCCACGGCCAUGGUCAGUCCCACAUCGGUGCUGAUGGUGUGAGCCUUUGCUGACAAAAUUCCAAAGGCAACCAAAAAACUAUUCAUGAUCUGAGCACCAGAGAGAAAACUUAGGCCGUAAGAGCUCCCUUUCACGGCGUUAUUUCAGGAUUCACAGGCCAGGGUGGCGACUUCGCAUAAUGGCAGCGGAUCCAUCUGCAGGGAGAGAUUUGAGGGUGAGAACUUUGUCCUGAAGCAUUUGGGUCCUGACAUCUUGUCCGUGGCGAGCACUGAACAAUACACAAACAGUGCCCAGUUCCUCAUCUGCACUGCAAGGCUCGGGUAGCUAGAUGGCAAACAUAUGGGCUUUGGGAAGCUGAAAGUAGACCUGAACGUCACAGAAGCCAUUAGAGCGGUUUAGGAACGGCAAGACCAGCAAGAAGGUCACCAUUGCCCACUGUGGGCGACUCUGAUUCUUCUGACUUUUGGGCAUCUUACCCACCAGGCCAUUCCUUCUGUAGCUCAGGAGGGUGUCCCCACCAUGUCUACCCCAUAGUCUCUGCUCCCACGGGGUCCCAUAUAUUCCUCAUUUGCCUCCGAGUCUUAACAGUCCCCUGCAAAGUUAAGUUUAUGACUAUGGAUAAAAACUAAAUAAGGGGGAAAAAGGAAAUGAAAAUAUCAAAUGGGGUUUCCCGAAAGGAUGCCAGCAGAGAAAGCAGGCAGGCUUCCCCCUUAAAACAGAGCAUAACUUAGACUGAAUUCUCUUGAAAUGACCGCCCUGCUUUCAUGGAAUUUCCCCUGCUCUGCGGUGGAGUCAUUGCGGCAACUGUCUCAGGACUUGUGGAUACAACUGGUUACUUUGAAAACAGUGGGACACUCAUCCUGCACUCUUAGAACAGGAUUUCCAGCUUCGCUGGUAGGCAAUAACACCCCCACCCCCCACCUCCACACAUGAAGCCCCUGGGAACGCUGGGAACAUACUGUAAACCUGUGGAGGCCAAAGUGUCUCUGAGCUCUUAGAUAGGUGCCUCGCUUUCUUAACUAGCCCCUGGCUCCACCCACUGUGUCCCUAGUCCCAUGCCAGGUAGGUUAGCCAGUAUCACCGCAGGCUCCAACGCUAAGCUCUUCUAAGUGACCUGUGUAAACUGACUCUUUCACAAAGAACUGAAAUGAAGAGAUCCACUUGGCAGAGAGGUGCGGACAGGCCACCACCACUCACUUUUGUGGAAGAAAAGAACGCAUCCUUCCUUACCCCACCCUCACCCACGUCCAGAUUGGGGUCUGGACCCUUCUUAUUUUCCCCUUAGGAAAAAGACAAAACAAAACAAAAAA
ensembl:lincRNA D130051D11Rik RIKEN cDNA D130051D11 gene